CCUGACAAUGUCUUCCAAAAGUGUAUCUGUUUUCUACCUUAUCAACUCUACAACAUUUUUGAAGUGUACAAAUCACCAAGGGAUUACAUUCCAAAUUAAAUAUUUGAGAUUAUAAAGAGGAGUUUGCAUGAAAUCAUUUGAUACUGCUUUUUUAAUUACAGAAAGAAUGGAGGGAAGAUAGAAAUGGAGAAUUUAAAAGAAAAGUUGCCCGCUGUGUAAGAAAAAGCCAAGAGACUGCUUUUGAGUGACAUUUAUUUAGCAGCUAGUAACUUCACUUAUUUCAGGGUCUCCAAUUGAGAAACAUGGCACUGUUUUUCCUGCACUCUACCCACCUAUUGCUGGACUUCUGUUGUACAAGUUGGCAAACACUGGCUGGAACUGGGCUGCAAUAAAACAUGCCAGUUAUCA